CUGCAAACUUAAACAAAUGGAGGGAGCUUCUGGGGCUCUUUACUCAGAUAAAGCCUGCCUGAGUGCACAUCAGGGAUAGAUAUUCUUUUCCUACAUUUUGGGGGUCCCAUGGGCUUCAUACGGUGAUACAUUGUUGCUAUUCGGUUAUAACGCUGGAUUUGAGCAGAGGAAUAAUGAUAAAAUGUGCUCAUUUGUUUCAGUGUAAGAAAAUAACUCCAGAUGGAUGUGGCGCCUCUUCUCCCUCCAGAGGCCCAACCCCAGGCCCCCCAGGCUCCCGAGGCCCCUGAGGCUCCAGCGCCACCAGAGGCCCCCGAGGCCCCAGCGCCACCAGAGGCCCCAGAGGCUGAAGAGGCCCCCCGAGGCCCUGGACACACCCCAGGUCCCGGACACUCCUCCCCUGGAUUUCUCCCCCCAGGCCCCAGACUCUCCCCAGGCCCUUGAAUUCUCCCCCCAGGCCCCAGACUCUCCCCAGGCCAAGCGCUGGGCACCAGGUCCUUCUGCGGAUGAGGGACCCCCACAACAGACCGAAGAUCUGGGGACCCAAACAACACCUGGGUGGACUGACCCCACACUUCGGUCAGUGCAGGAGGACCUGGAUACCA